rnacentral:rRNA from 1 species
UACAGAGGUCCCAAGCGUUGUUCGGAUUCACUGGGCGUAAAGGGUGCGUAGGUGGUGCUGUAAGUCAGGUGUGAAAUCUCGGGGCUCAACCCCGAAACUGCACUUGAUACUGCAGUGCUCGAGGACUGGAGAGGAGAUUGGAAUUCAUGGUGUAGCAGUGAAAUGCGCAGAUAUCAGGAGGAACACCGGUGGCGAAGGCGGAUCUCUGGGCCAUUACUGACGCUGAGGAGCGAAAGCGUGGGGAGCGAACAGG